GAUAAGAAUUAUAACUCUGAUUUUUGAGCAGAUCUGGACGGUCCGAAGCUGAUCCGACGGUCAGGAAUAUUUCUAAAAAAAUUAAUACAAUUUUUAAGGGUUUUAGGACUCCUUUUCCUACCAAAAAAUUAUAAAAAAUUUAUUUAUAAAUAGGAGAUCCGGGAAUAAGCUUUGGGAGCAAAAAAAUUAAGUAGAAAAUAUAGAAAAAAAUAAAAAAAUAAAAUA
rnacentral:lncRNA from 1 species